GCAUUUUUAACAAGUUCCAGGUGAUGCUAUGCUGCUGGUCAGGAGAAUCACUGGUCUAGGCAUUGCAGGUGUAGCAGUGGUCAAGAAAGAGUCCUCACCCUCGUGAAUAUUAUGUUAGUUUGGGAGAUACAGAUGACAAAUAACUAAAUAAAUCAGAAAGAUACAGACGGUCAUUGCUAUGGUCUGAAUAUGUGUGUCUUCCUGAAAGUCAUAUGUUUAAGGCCUAAUGCCCAAUGUGAUGGUAUUAGUAGGCGGAUUCUUUGGGAGGUGAUAAGGUCAUCAGGGCGGAGCAUAAGAUUAAUAUCCUUAUAAAAGAGAGAUUCAGCUGCGUCUGUGCUUCUUCUACCAGGUGAGGAUCAGAAAAGACUGGCUCAGAGGAGGGUCUUGACCUGAAUCGGCUGGCACCCUGAUCUCAGACUUAAAGCCUCCAGGACUACUUGUAGAGGCAAACUGGUCUGCUGUCCACAUCUACAUGGAGAGGGUCAUGAGGCAAGGAACUGAGGACACUCUCUGACCAACAACCAGGAAAGAAAGAAAAAACAAGAAACAAACAAAACAACAACAAAGAAAAUAAGAUCUUUCUUCAGCAAGAAGCAGCUCUUUCCAAACUCAAGCCUCAGAUGGUGCUCAGUUAUGCCAGACAUCUAGAUCUCAACUUCAUGCGAUUCUGAAGCAAAGGAUCAAGAUAGUGAGAGUCCUACUAAGACUCACCCAGUGUGCAAUACCCAUGGCCAUAGACUCCAGCCCUCAACGAAGUACAGUACCCACAGAGAUCCCUUCUCCUUUUAACUGUGAAGAUGUGGAGAACGUUUUGUUCUGGGAGGAGUGAGUUGUUUUGUUUUGUUUUGUUUUGUUUUGUUUUGUUUUGUUUGUGUCUCCCUAGCUCUUUGUUCUCUUCAUGUUUUUUGAGAACCUCAGGGAGCUUUCUUUGUACAUUACCA